rnacentral:rRNA from 1 species
AUUGAACGCUGGCGGCAUGCUUUACACAUGCAAGUCGAACGGCAGCGCGGGCUUCGGCCUGGCGGCGAGUGGCGAACGGGUGAGUAAUACAUCGGAACGUGCCCAGUAGUGGGGGAUAGCUCGGCGGAAGCCGGAUUAAUACCGCAUACGACCUGAGGGUGAAAGCGGGGGAUCUUCGGACCUCGCGCUAUUGGAGCGGCCGAUGGCAGAUUAGCUAGUUGGUGGGGUAAAGGCCUACCAAGGCGACGAUCUGUAGCUGGUCUGAGAGGACGACCAGCCACACUGGGACUGAGACACGGCCCAGACUCCUACGGGAGGCAGCAGUGGGGAAUUUUGGACAAAGGGCGAAAGCCUGAUCCAGCAAUGCCGCGUGUGUGAUGAAGGCCUUCGGGUUGUAAAGCACUUUUGGCGGGAACGAAAAGGACUGUGCCAAUACCACGGUUCGAUGACGGUACCCGCAGAAUAAGCACCGGCUAACUACGUG